GCCGGGCCCUUCAGGGAAGGAUUCCUGUUGAACGGCUCCCCCAGCAGAACAGCUUGGAUUUAUUCUCCCAGAGAAAAAGAGUCUGUUAAUCAUUUCAGAGACAUGGCUGCUUGGGCAUGACUAAAGCAAACCCCCAGCUGAGACCAACACCAAACCCACUUGCCACAGUGAGCUUCACCGGGGAUUAACAAGUUUCUGACAGAACUCACUGUGGAAUUUUUGCCGUGAGAGACUCUCAUCAGAAACUUCAUCAUCACACCCCAAAAGAUCGUCAACCACACAGACUGAAAAGCCACACAUUCCCUUUUCUGAUGCAGGAAAAAUGAUUCCUCCUCCUCGCUCAUUCCCCAUCUUUCCCCUCAGGACAGGUUCAGGGUGAGGGCACGGCAAAGAGGGGAGUGAUGGAAGAUAUGUGAAGUAAGGAAGGAGGUGCAGCAACCGCUGUCCACUAAUGAGAUGCCAUGCUCCUGCUAUAAACCACUGUAGACAGAUAUAACCAGAGGACAGCUGCACAGUGAGCAUUGUUGGUUUGCAUGAGCUGCUGGGUGAAUGUGUGUUAGAUGGCCAGUAAAAUAAGGUUCUCCAGUAAUGGCAAUGGCUAAGCUGAACAUUGUUAAAGGGACAGCUUAAAUUUGUUAAAAUAAGACUUUGUGGAGAUAAAUAGUUGGUACCUUAACUACAGAUAAGAGCAAACCCCAGACCAAAUGGAUUUCUGGCAUCUUAAAACAACAGUUUUAUUAACUCUUACACCAGUGUCAUUUUUACAUUAGACUCAGUUGGAAGUCAGUAACUGCCAUGAAAAGAUGCCAUGAAUGUUGAUACAGUCAUGGAAAAAUGUAAGGGCACCCUUGCUGCUUUCAAAGGAAGGAGAGAGUAGCACCCAUGUGCUAAUCCAAUACUCAUGAUUAAUUUAUCAGUAUAUAUUGGCAAUUUGCUUGUCUGGAACGUACAGUUGCUCCUUAACUCAAUGCCAAUAAGGAAAUAUAUCAACAGUAACUUCAGAGAAUCAACUAGUGCCACAAUCAGUCUGGGAAAAGGUUAUUGUUCAUAUUUAAAGAAUCGGACAUUUACAACAGUUAGAAAAUUUCCCACAAGUGAACAUUCAAGCCCCGAUGGUCAGAAUCUGCAAUUCUCACAGAAAUAACAAAAAUGUAGGAGCUUGACCAGAUCUCAGACAAUAAUGGAUAGAUGGCUUGCUUGGUACAAAGGCCAGGAGCCUGCAUCUGAAAAUCAGAAAAUGGCAACACAACCUAGGUUUCAAUAGAUGGAUCUGAAUGAACAAGAUUUCUGGAACAAUGUACUUUGGACAGAUGAAACCAAUAAUCCAUAGCAAAAUGCUUGGUAAAAACCAGGUGCACCGUCUACACAAACACUUAAUACCCACUCUGAAGCAUGGUGGUGAAGGAGUGAUGAUUUGGAAAGGACACUUUGCAGUCAUUGAGUUGAACAUGACGUGGUGUAUUAAUGCUUAUUGUAUAGCAGAUGGACUCAAAUGCACUUAAGUCCGCAACAGGAAAAUUGUUCCUAACAUAGCAAGGAAUCUGCAACAGAUGAGCUGUGUGGUACUGUGCAGAAUGAAUCUCUGCGAAGCAAUGUGCUAAAGGAAAGUGGUCCAAAAUUCAUUCACAACAGUGUGAGAUAAAAAGUCACAGAAUUUGAUUAAAGACAAUCAUUGCUGCUAAAAGUGGUUCUUAUAGGGUUUACUUAUUUGUUCUCAAAACUCUACAAAACACAAACGUGUAUAAACUAUUUAUAUUUUUCAAAUUUAUCCUGAACUCUAUCAAUCAAGUGCUUAAUAAGAGUUUUCUAGUUUUUAUACCAUCAUAUGUCAGGGGAGUGAUGCAUAGCUGCUCCUUCA